rnacentral:lncRNA from 1 species
AAUAUAAGCUUGAUAAUGCCGUAGUGAUAGUGUAGCUUUUAUAAUGUGGUAGUGAUAGAAUGAUAGUGAUAAUUUAGUGGUCAUAAUGUAAUAAUGCAGUGGUGAUGAUAAUGUCAUUUUGAUAAUACACUGAUGAUGAUAAUGUAGUCUUGAUAAUACACUGAUGAUGAUAAUGUAGUCUUGAUAAUACACUGAUGAAGAUAAUGUAGUUUUGAUAAUAAACUGAUGAUGAUAAUGUAGUCUUGAUAAUACACUGAUGAUGAUAAUGUAGUCUUGAUAAUAAACUGAUGAUGAUAAUCUAGUCUUGAUAAUACACUGAUGAUGAUAAUGUAGUCUUGAUAAUACACUGAUGAUGAUAAUGUAGUCUUGAUAAUACACUGAUGAUGAUAAUGUAGUCUUGAUAAUAAACUGAUGAUGAUAAUGUAGUCUUGAUAAUACACUGAUGAUGAUAAUGUAGUCUUGAUAAUAAACUGAUGAUGAUAAUGUAGUCUUGAUAAUACACUGAUGAUGAUAAUGUAGUCUUGAUAAUAAACUGAUGAUGAUAAUGUAGUCUUGAUAAUACACUGAUGAUGAUAAUGUAGUCUUGAUAAUACACUGAUGAUGAUAAUGUAGUCUUGAUAAUACACUGAUGAAGAUAAUGUAGUUUUGAUAAUAAACUGAUGAUGAUAAUGUAGUCUUGAUAAUACACUGAUGAUGAUAAUGUAGUCUUGAUAAUAAACUGAUGAUGAUAAUGUAGUCUUGAUAAUACACUGAUGAUGAUAAUGUAGUCUUGAUAAUACACUGAUGAUGAUAAUGUAGUCUUGAUAAUACACUGAUGAUGAUAAUGUAGUCUUGAUAAUAAACUGAUGAUGAUAAUGUAGUCUUGAUAAUACACUGAUGAUGAUAAUGUAGUCUUGAUAAUACACUGAUGAUGAUAUUGUAGUCUUGAUAAUACACUGAUGAUGAUAUUGUAGUCUUGAUAAUAAACUGAUGAUGAUAAUGUAGUCUUGAUAAUAAACUGAUGAUGAUAAUGUAGUCUUGAUAAUAAACUGAUGAUGAUAAUGUAGUCUUGAUAAUACACUGAUGAUGAUAAUGUAGUCUUGAUAAUAAACUGAUGAUGAUAUUGUAGUCUUCAUAAUAAACUGAUGAUGAUGAUGUAGUCUUGAUAAUAAACUGAUGAUGAUAUUGUAGUCUUGAUAAUAAACUGAAUAUGAUAAUGUAGUCUUGAUAAUAAACUGAUGAUGAUAAUGUAGUCUUGAUAAUAAACUAAUGAUGAUAUGUAGUCUUGAUAAUAAACUGAUGAUGAUAAUGUAGUCUUGAUACUACACCGAUGAUGAUAAUGUAGUCUUGAUAAUACACUGAUGAUGAUAAUGUAGUCUUGAUAAUACACUGAUGAUGAUGAUGUAGUCUUGAUAAUAAACUGAUGAUGAUAUUGUAGUCUUGAUAAUACACUGAUGAUGAUAAUGUAGUCUUGAUAAUAAACUGAUGAUGAUAAUGUAGUCUUGAUAAUACACUGAUGAUGAUAUUGUAGUCUUGAUAAUAAACUGAUGAUGAUUAUGUAGUCUUGAUAAUACACUGAUGAUGAUAAUGUAGUCUUGAUAAUACACUGAUGAUGAUAAUGUAGUCUUGAUAAUACACUGAUGAUGAUAAUGUAGUCUUGAUAAUACACUGAUGAUGAUAAUGUAGUCUUGAUAAUACACUGAUGAUGAUAAUGUAGUCUUGAUAAUAAACUGAUGAUGAUAUUGUAGUCUUCAUAAUAAACUGAUGAUGAUGAUGUAGUCUUGAUAAUAAACUGAUGAUGAUAUUGUAGUCUUGAUAAUAAACUGAAUAUGAUAAUGUAGUCUUGAUAAUAAACUGAUGAUGAUAAUGUAGUCUUGAUAAUAAACUAAUGAUGAUAUGUAGUCUUGAUAAUAAACUGAUGAUGAUAAUGUAGUCUUGAUACUACACCGAUGAUGAUAAUGUAGUCUUGAUAAUACACUGAUGAUGAUAAUGUAGUCUUGAUAAUACACUGAUGAUGAUGAUGUAGUCUUGAUAAUAAACUGAUGAUGAUAUUGUAGUCUUGAUAAUACACUGAUGAUGAUAAUGUAGUCUUGAUAAUAAACUGAUGAUGAUAAUGUAGUCUUGAUAAUAAACUGACAUUGAUAACGUAGUCUUGAUAAUACACUGAUGAUGAUAAUGUAGUCUUGAUAAUACACUGAUGAUGAUAUUGUAGUCUUGAUAAUACACUGAUGAUGAUAAUGUAGUCUUGAUAAUACACUGAUGAUGAUAAUGUAGUCUUGAUAAUAAACUGAUGAUGAUAAUGUAGUUUUGAUAAUACACUGAUGAUGAUAAUGUAGUCUUGAUAAUACACUGAUGAUGAUAAUGUAGUCUUGAUAAUACACUGAUGAUGAUUAUGUAGUCUUGAUAAUAAACUGAUGAUGAUAAUGUAGUCUUGAUAAUACACUGAUGAUGAUGCUGUAGUCUUGAUAAUAAACUGAUGAUGAUAAUGUAGUCUUGAUAAUACACUGAUGAUGAUGCUGUAGUCUUGAUAAUAAACUGAUGAUGAUAAUGUAGUCUUGAUAAUACACCGAUGAUGAUUAUGUAGUCUUGAUAAUAAACUGAUGAUGAUAAUGUAGUCUUGAUAAUACACUGAUGAUGAUUAUGUAGUCUUGAUAAUAAACUGAUGAUGAUAAUGUAGUCUUGAUAAUACACUGAUGAUGAUAUUGUAGUCUUGAUAAUAAACUGAUGAUGAUUAUGUAGUCUUGAUAAUACACUGAUGAUGAUAAUGUAGUCUUGAUAAUACACUGAUGAUGAUAAUGUAGUCUUGAUAAUACACUGAUGAUGAUAAUGUAGUCUUGAUAAUACACUGAUGAUGAUAAUGUAGUCUUGAUAAUACACUGAUGAUGAUAAUGUAGUCUUGAUAAUACACUGAUGAUGAUAAUGUAGUCUUGAUAAUACACUGAUGAUGAUAAUGUAGUCUUGAUACUACAACGAUGAUAAUAAUGUAGUUUUGAAAAUACACUGAUGAUGAUAAUGUAGUCUUGAUAAUACACCGAUGAUGAUAAUGUAGUCUUGAUAAUACACCGAUGAUGAUAAUGUAGUCUUGAUAAUACACUGAUGAUGAUAAUGUAGUCUUGAUAAUACACUGAUGAUGAUAAUGUAGUCUUGAUAAUACACUGAUGAUGAUAAUGUAGUCUUGAUAAUACACUGAUGAUGAUAAUGUAGUCUUGAUAAUACACCGAUGAUGAUAAUGUAGUCUUGAUAAUACACUGAUGAUGAUAAUGUAGUCUUGAUAAUACACUGAUGAUGAUAAUGUAGUCUUGAUAAUACACUGAUGAUGAUGAUGUAGUCUUGAUAAUACACUGAUGAUGAUAAUGUAGUCUUGAUAAUACACUGAUGAUGAUAAUGUAGUCUUGAUACUACAACGAUGAUAAUAAUGUAGUCUUGAUAAUACACUGAUGAUGAUGAUGUAGUCUUGAUAAUACACUGAUGAUGAUAAUGUAGUCUUGAUAAUACACUGAUGAUGAUAAUGUAGUCUUGAUAAUACACUGAUGAUGAUAAUGUAGUCUUGAUAAUACACCGAUGAUGAUAAUGUAGUCUUGAUAAUACACUGAUGAUGAUAAUGUAGUCUUGAUAAUACACUGAUGAUGAUAAUGUAGUCUUGAUAAUACACUGAUGAUGAUGAUGUAGUCUUGAUAAUACACUGAUGAUGAUAAUGUAGUCUUGAUAAUACACUGAUGAUGAUAAUGUAGUCUUGAUAAUACACUGAUGAUGAUAAUGUAGUCUUGAUAAUACACUGAUGAUGAUGAUGUAGUCUUGAUAAUACACUGAUGAUGAUUAUGUAGUCUUGAUAAUAAACUGAUGAUGAUAAUGUAGUCUUGAUAAUACACUGAUGAUGAUAUUGUAGUCUUGAUAAUAAACUGAUGAUGAUUAUGUAGUCUUGAUAAUACACUGAUGAUGAUAAUGUAGUCUUGAUAAUACACUGAUGAUGAUAAUGUAGUCUUGAUAAUACACUGAUGAUGAUAAUGUAGUCUUGAUAAUACACUGAUGAUGAUAAUGUAGUCUUGAUAAUACACUGAUGAUAAUAAUGUAGUCUUGAUACUACAACGAUGAUAAUAAUGUAGUCUUGAUAAUACACUGAUGAUGAUAAUGUAGUCUUGAUAAUACACCGAUGAUGAUGAUGUAGUCUUGAUAAUACACUGAUGAUGAUAAUGUAGUCUUGAUAAUACACUGAUGAUGAUGAUGUAGUCUUGAUAAUACACUGAUGAUGAUAAUGUAGUCUUGAUAAUACACUGAUGAUGAUAAUGUAGUCUUGAUACUACAACGAUGAUAAUAAUGUAGUCUUGAUAAUACACUGAUGAUGAUAAUGUAGUCUUGAUAAUACACUGAUGAUGAUGAUGUAGUCUUGAUAAUACACUGAUGAUGAUAAUGUAGUCUUGAUAAUACACUGAUGAUGAUAAUGUAGUCUUGAUAAUACACCGGUGAUGAUAAUGUAGUCUUGAUAAUACACCGGUGAUGAUUAUGUAGUCUUGAUAAUACACUGAUGAUGAUAAUGUAGUCUUGAUACUACAACGAUGAUAAUAAUGUAGUCUUGAUAAUACACUGAUGAUGAUAAUGUAGUCUUGAUAAUACACCGAUGAUGAUAAUGUAGUCUUGAUAAUACACCGGUGAUGAUUAUGUAGUCUUGAUAAUACACUGAUGAUGAUAAUGUAGUCUUGAUACUACAACGAUGAUAAUAAUGUAGUCUUGAUAAUACACUGAUGAUGAUAAUGUAGUCUUGAUAAUACACUGAUGAUGAUGCUGUAGUUUUGAUAAUACACUGAUGAUGAUAAUGUAGUCUUGAUAAUACACUGAUGAUGAUAAUGUAGUCUUGAUAAUACACUGAUGAUGAUAAUGUAGUCUUGAUAAUACACUGAUGAGGAUAUAGUGGUGACUAUUGAAAAUGUAGUCUUGAUAAUAUAGUGACGAUAGUGCAGUGGUGUUAAUGUAGUAGCAACAGUGAUAAAGUACACACUGCUAAUAAUUAACAUUCAGGGACAGCUGCACCGAAUAAUGUGUUCAGAAGGUGAUUGCUGGAAAUAAACAAAGUAAUCGCAGCAGCAAGAGUAGCGGUAACAGCAGUAGCAAUGCAUGUGUGAUGAUGAGGAGUGGUAGUAGGGGUGUAGGUAGGAGGCGGUAAAGGAGACGAAGACGGAGGAGAUUUAGGAUAUGAAUGAGGGAUGGGGUGAGGAUAAAAGGUUACACUUUUACUCUUUUUUUUUCUCUUUUUACUUGUUUCAGUCAUUUGACUGCGACCAUGCUGGAGCACUGCCUUUUUAGUCGAGCAAAUCGAUCCCCGGGGUCUAAAUUCUUUGUAAGCCUAGUACUUAUUCUAUCGGUCUCUUUAGCCGAACCGCUAAGUUACGGGGACGUAAACACACCAGCAUCGGUUGUCAAGCGAUGUUGGGUGGGGGACAAACACAGACACAAACAUAUACACACGCACACACACACUCACACACACACACACACACACACACUCACACAUACACAUACAUAUAUACAACAGGCUUCUUUCAGUUUCCGCCAACCAAAUCCACUCACAAGGCUUUGGUCGGCCCGAGGCUAUAGUAGAAGACACUUGCCCAAGGUGCCACACAGUGGGACUGAACCCGGAACCAAGAGGUUCGUUAGCCAGCCACUUACCACACAGCCACUAAGCAUACUUCCAAAUAUAUGGUGUGCUCGUCUAUAUCUUUUACUUGUUUCAGUUAUUAGACUGCGGCCCUGCUGGGGCACCGCCUUAAAGAAAUUUUAGUCAAAUGAAUCGACACCAGUACUUUUAUUUUUAAAGCCUGGUAUUUAUUCCAUCGCCUCCUUUUGCCAAACUGCUAAGUUAUGGGAACGGAAAUAUCUAGACCGGUUGUCAAGAUAUAUAUAUAUAUAUAUAUAUAGUACAAAGUAAGAAGUGUCUUCUACUAUAGCCUCGGGCCGACCAAAGCCUUGUGAGUGGAUUUGGUAGACCGAAACUGAAAGAAGCCCGUCGUAUAAAUGUAUAUAAAUAUAUAUGUAUGUGUGUAUGUAUGUAUCUGUGUUUGUCCCCCUAGCAUUGCUUGACAACCGAUGCUGGUGUGUUUAUGUCCCCGUCAGUUUGCGGUUCGGCAAAACAGACCGAUAGAAUAAGUACUAGGUUGUAAAGAAUAAGUCCCAGGGUCGAUUUGCUCGACUAAAGGCAGCGCUCCAGCAUGGCCACAGUCAAAUGACUGCAAGAAGUAAAAGAAUAAAGCAAUACUGGUUGGCGAAGGUAAAGAAUGCGCACACCUGGUGUUUAAGGUCAGGGCUUAGGGUUAGGGUUAGGGUUACGCCGAAAACGGGUGGAGUGCGUAUUCUUUACCUCCGCCUUUUGGUUGUCAAGCGGUGGUUGCCACACACACACACACGCACACACACACACACACACACUCACACACACACACACACACACACACACACACACACACACACACACACACACACACACACACACACACACACACACACACACACACACACAUAGCGGCUGUCUUUCAGUUUCCGUUCACCAAAUCAUCCACUCACAAGAGUCUUUGGUCAUCCCGGGGUGGAUACAGAAGUAGACACUCGCCCAGGUGGGACUGAACCCGGAAGAAGACAACUAAAAUGACUCUGUGUGUGUAUGUGUGUGUGUGUGUGUGUGUAUGUGUAUGUUUAUGCGUGUGUAUGUGUAUGCGUGUGUGUGUGUGUGUGUGUGUGCUUACAUUAACAGAGUUCUGUGUGUCACACGCUAUAAGAGUGCACUUAUUUCAAACUGUAAAGUGUAAAUUUAGGACGACUGGUUGUUAUGUUUAGCAGGUCAAGCAACCACCUUAAACCAUCUUUGUUAAGCCCGAUGUCAACCCCACCCUGCAAAUACAGUCUUUCCUUCUCCCCCACCCCACCCCUGCUGGUGUCUUUAUAUUUUUAUGUCCCUUUCACUCUCUCUCUCUCUCUCUCACACACACACUCUCUCUCUUUCUCUCUCUCUCUCUCACUCACUCACACACUCUCUCUCUUUCAACUACUUAUGAAGGCUAAAAUUGGAGGAUUAUGAUUGGCUGCAAUAUUGUCCAUGACCGACAUCCAAGGUAGUAGUAGUACUUGUAGUAGUAGUAGUAGUAGUAGUAGUAGUUGUAUUAGUAGUAGUAGUAGUAGUAGUAGUAGUAGUAGUAGUUGUAGUAGUAGUAGUAGUAGUAGUAUUAGUAUUAGUAGUAGUUGUCGUUGUAGUAUUAGUAGUAGUAGUAGUUGUUGUCGUAGUAGUAGUAGUAAUAGUAAUAGUAGUAGUAGCAGUAGUAGUUGUUGUUGUUGUAGUAGUAGUAGUAUUAGUAGUAGCUGUAGUAGUAGUAGUAGUAUUAGUAGUAGUUGUUGUAGUCGUAGUAGUAUUAGUAAUAGAUAGAUAGAUAGAUAGAUAGAUACAUACAUACAUACAUACAUACAUACAUACAUGCAUACAUAGUAGUUGUUGUUGUCGUAGUAGUAUUAGUAGUAGUAUUAGUAGUAGUAGUUAUUGUUGUAGUAGUAGUAGUAGUAGUAGUAGUAGUAGUAGUAGUAGUAGUAAUUGUUGUAGUAGUAGUGGUAGUAGUUGUAGUAGUAGUUGUAGUAUUAGUGGUAGUAGUAGUAGUAGUAUUAGUGGUAGUAGUAGUAGUAGUUAUUGUUAUUGUUGUAGUAGUCACCUCACUUCUGGUCUGCAUUCUCAUUCUUUUCUUCUUCCUCACUCCCCUCCUCCCCACCACCACCUCCCACCGCCACCGAUCUCUCCUCCCCCGUCUCUCCACCGAAAGACAUUACAUCAGUUGAAGAACGCGUAACGACCAGGGUACAUCUGCACCGAGAAACAGACAGGCAGGCAGACGGUCAGACGGACAGACAGGCAGGCAGGCAGUCAGACAGACGGACGGACAGGCAGACAGACACAGACCCAAAAUUUCUCCAAUCACUGUAUCUUCCGAUAUCAAUACAUCGCAUCUAUUUCUGCCCAUUCUGACUCCUGCCUUCUCUCUCUCUCUCCCUCUCUCUCCUCUUAUAAUCUUUCUUUUUACUAAUAUCUACUGUCUGAUAUCUGUCUGUCUAUCUAAUCUAUCGAUCUGUUUACCUAUUUUGUAUAUCUAUAUAUCUGUCUGCCUGUCUGACUGCCUGUCUAUCUGCCUGCCUGCCUGCCUGCCUGUCUGUCUGUCUGUCUGUCUCUUUGUUUUCCUCCCUAUUCGCCUGUCCGUCCGUCUGUCUGUCUGUCCGUCUAUCUAUCUAUCUAUCUAUCUAUCUAUCUAUCUAUCUAUCUAUCUAUCUAUCUAUCUAUCUAUCUAUCUAUCUAUGCUUAUCCACCGCCGCCAUCACUGACCACCACCAUCACCACACACAAAAAAAAUAAAACCAUAUUAAGUACAACAAAUGAAAGCUCAUCAAUGUGGACCUUCAACAUGCCAGAAAUAGCAGCUAAAUGUCCCUCAAAUCAUAUCUGUAUUUGUUUUUAAAAAACGAACGAUGGAAGGAUGCAUUGGAUAAUAAUAUAGGCUGGAAAAAUAAAAUAUGUACGAUGGGCACGGUUGAGACGCUUAUGAUAAUAGGUCUGGCUCGUUCAGGACUGUCCAUGGGCUAAAAAACAGCUAUAGUGCUGUUACAUAUAUCAUAAUAUCGGUUUGUUUACAAAAUUAUGCUCGCUGAAGUAGAGACAUCACAUGACCUUAAUUUAUGCAAAAAUCGUAUCACCCAUCUGUGGUUGUUUACAUCUGUGAGAAGUAGAUCACGUUGCACAAUUUUGGGAUGAACGUGCGCGCGUGCGCGUGCGCGUGCGAGUUUGUAUAUAUACAUAGAUAUGUACGCGUGCGUGUAACUUGGCCAUUUCUCUUAAAACAUGACCUUUUGCCUAUAUUGGAAAUCAUUACAGCCUCUUUGUAUUGCGUUCUCGCCUUCACAGACAUUCAAACAUUUGUUUUGACUUUUUAUGCCAUGUCAGUUUUGGACACAUUCUUUAUUUCUGACAAUUUUCUCCAUUCUCGUUUGUAACCUAUUUCUUUAUUACCCUCAAGGGGCUAAACACAGAGGGGACAAACAAGGACAGACAUAGGUAUUAAGUCGAUCACAUCGACCCCAGUGCGUAACUGGUACUUAAUUUAUCGACCCCGAAAGGAUGAAAGGUAAAGUCGACCUCGGCGGAAUUUGAACUCAGAACGUAGCGACUGACGAAAUACCGCUAAAGUUUCUGCUAGCUCGCCGCCUUCUCGUUUGUAACCGAUUGGUCUGCUCCAGGGGUCGGCGAACUUUUAAAUCCAAUUAUCCCCUAAAUAUAUUUAUUUAUACCAACGCUACCCCCUUGAUUUGAAAGGAAGAAAACCAUAGAUUCUUUGAAUUCAAAAGGUUUGCUCCCUUUUACUCUCUUUUAGUUGUUUCAGUAAAUUUGACUGCGACCAAGCUGGAGCACUGCCUUUAGUCGAGCAAAUCGACCCCAGGACUUAUUCUCUGUAAGCCUAGUACUUAUUCUAUCGGUCCCUUUUGCCGAACCGUUAAGUUACGGGGACGUAAACACACCCGCAUCGGUUGUCGAGCGACGUUGGGGCGACAAACACAGACAGACAAACAUAUAUACACACAGAUACAUAUAUAUAUAUAUAUAUAUACAUACAUAUAUACGACGAGCUUCUUUCAGUUUCCGUCUACCAAAUCCACUCACAAGGCUUUGGUCAGCCCGAGGCUAUAGUAGAAGACACUUGCCCAAGGUGCCACGCAGUGGGACUGAUACCGGAACCAUGUGGUUGGUAAGCAAGCUACUUACCACACAGCCACUCCUACGCUUGUGAGUAAUAAAGAAAUAAGGACAAUAGAGAUUAUAGAUGCUGUCAAUUCUUGAGCACGAAACUGACCAUUAAUAAAACAGAAUUCCUCACUAUGCAUGCAGUUUUACACCUGUUAACAUUUACCUGAGGGAUUUAUUGAUUAAUAUAACGAAACUUAGGUGUUCUGGAAGCUAAGGUUUAUUAUUUUUUUUUUAAUCGGAAGAACACACCUGUUGGCAUGAACAGAAUUCUAGGUUUAAUUUUAUCAUCUCCUAUGGUGUACCUAAUAAGAAUAAUGGUCACGAUGACAUGUCACUUAAACUAAACUUCUUAACCUACCCCGCAGCCUUACGCUUUACUCUUUUACCCUUUUACUUGUUUCAGUCAUUUGACUGCGGCCAUGCUGGAGCACCGCCUUUAGUCGAGCAACUCAACCCCGGGACUUAUUCUUUGUAAGCCCAGUACUUAUUCUAUCGGUCUUUUUUGCCAAACCGCUAAGUGACGGGGACGUAAACACACCAGCAUCGGCUGUCAAGCAAUGCUAGGGGGACAAACACACACACACACACACACACACACACACACACACAUAUAUAUAUAUAUAUAUAUACGAUGGGCUUCUUUCAGUUUCCAUCUAUCAAAUCCACUCACAAGGCAUUGGUCGGCCCAGGGCUAUAGCAGAAGACACUUGCCCAAGAUGCCACGCAGUGGGACUGAACCCGGAACCAUGUGGUUGGUUAGCAAGCUACUUACCACAGAGCCACUCCUGCGCCUAUAUAUGUUGAAAAUACUUUUUAAAGUGAAGUCUGUUUUACGGCGGACCUGAAGGUUCCAAUGAAUUUUAAAAUUCAGCUGUGAACUUAUUCUUCCAGAUCCACAACAGUCAUUCUGAUUUGAAGCUUAUAUAAGAGCGAUAUCCUGUCCAUCGUCUCCAGAGCCAACUUGUGCGCUAUUUUGCAUUCAUCCCAGACUACAUCUUAGGAACUUGUCCCGUCCCCGAAUUGUUAGCCAUGUUGCGGACAGGUGCAGGUGCUUCAUUUGCGCACAAGAGAAGCUUGAAAGUAAAAUGUGCUGACAGGACUGUGUCGACAAUACCAGAAGAAACAAAGGCGGUGAGUUGGCAGAAACGUUAGCACACCGGGCGAAAUGCGUAGCCGUGUUCCGUCUGUCAUUACGUUCUGAGUUCAAAUUCCGCCGAGGUUGACUUUGCCUUUCAUCCUUUCGGGGGUCGAUAAAUUAAGUACCAGUUACGCACUGGGGUCGAUGUAAUCGACUUAAUCCGUUUGUCUGUCCUUGUUUGUCUCCUCUGUGUUUAGCCUCUUGUAGGUAGUAAAGAAAUAGGUAUUUCACCUGUCGCUACGUUCUGAGUUCAAAUUCCGCCGAGGUUGACUUUGCCUUUCAUCCUUUCGGGGUCGGUUAAAUAAGUACCAGUUACGCACUGGGGUCGAUAUAAUCGACUUAAUCCAUUUGUCUGUCCUUGUCCCCCUCUGUGUUUAGCCCCUUGUGGGCAAUAAAGAAAUAAAUACUAGAAGAAACAAUUGCAAGAGCUAAGUUUGUAUGUUGUCGGACUCCAGCAAUCAAUAGACUGUUCAAAAAUGUCUUUUCGGUGCUAUACCUGAUAAAGUUUACGGGAAUAAACAAAAGACGAUGGCAGGUGGAGUACAAACAAAUGUUUUAGUAUAGCGCUCAGGAAUAGAAAAAGUCUUUUACGUUUCGAGCCUACGCUCUUCGACAGAAAGAUACACAGAAAACAAACAAGGAGAGAAACAAGGAGAGAAAAAAAUGCGUGUAGGAGUUAACGAUCUAUCAUGGCGUCCUGAUAUAUCCCAUACCUGAUACAUACUUACAAUUCAGUGAACCGUAACAAUUAUGCGACUAGCCCAGGAAACACAGGGUAGUGAACUAUACUUCUCUGUGGUACUAACUUUUCUUUUUGGCAAACUGGACUAUUGAUAGUCAAGUACUUUGGUUAUAGACACAAGGACAAUGAACCGUAUAACAAAGCCCGUAACUACUCUUGUACAGUGUUUUCACUUCCUGUGAGUGAAUGCUGAGUUUGUAUUUGUUGUAGACAACAGCACAUUGUUUGUGUAGGUUGUUGACAACAUAUGCACGCGUACACUCACACUUAACCAUUCUUACAGGCAUUACAGAUAUACACGCGCACUGGCAAACGCACCUGGCGCCUUAGACCACUCGGCCAUUCUGACAAGGCGGCGAGCUGGCAGAAACGUUAGUACGCCGGGCGAAAUGCUUAGCAGUAUUUCGUCUGUAUUUACUUUGCCUUUCAUCCUUUCGGGGGUCGUUUAAAUAAGUACCAGUUACGCACUGGGGUCGAUAUAAUCGACUUAAUCCUUAUUAAUUUGUCUGUCCUUGUUUGUCCUCUCUGUGUUUAGUCCCUUGUGGGUAGUAAAGAAAUAGGUAUUUCGUCUGCCGCUACGUUCUGAGUUCAAAUUCCGCCGAGGUCGACUUUGCCUUUCAUCCUUUCGGGGGUCGAUUAAAUAAGUACCAGUUAUCCGUUUGUCUGUCCUUGUUUGUCCCUUCUGUGUUUAGCCCCUUAUGGGUAGUAAAGAAAUAGGUAUUUCGUCUGCCGCUACGUUCUGAGUUCAAAUUCUGCCGAGGUCGACUUUGCCUUUCAUCCUUUCGGGGGUCGAUUAAAUAAGUACCAGUUACGCACUGGGGUCGAUAUAAUCGACUUAAUCCAUUUGUCUGUCCUUGUUUGUUCUCUCUGUGUUUAGCCCCUUGUGGGUAGUAAAGAAAUAGAUAUACACGCGCACACAGAGUUAUUUGAGACAACCUCGUGACUCUCAAGUCAACGAGGAAGCCUUUAAGUGCUGCUAUGACCUGCUAGAAAUAGCAAUUUAAUCUCCCUUGAAUCAAACGUCAGCAUUUUAAAUAAGGAAAGGAGAUUGUAGGAUUCUUUUAUAUAUAUAUAUAUACAGAAGAAAUAAGAAAAAUAUGGGAUGGUUACACGAUUGGAAUGACUUAGGUCAUAUGUCUGUUGAGUCAGAGCAGACAUGGGCUUAAGUGAGCAACAGCGGCACCACCGCCACCGAUACCGCCGCCGCCACCGCCACCACCACCCUUACCACCACCACCACCCUUACCACCACCACCACCACCCUUACCACCACCACCACCCUUACCACCACCACCACCACCACCGCCGCCGCCACCACCACUACCACCACCACCACCACCACCACCACUACCACCGCCGCCGCCGCCACCACCACUACCACCACCACCACUACCACCGCCGUCGCCGCCGCCACCACCAGCACCACCAGCACCAGCACCACCGCCGCCGCCGCCGCCACCAGCACCAGCACCACCAGCACCAGCACCACCAGCACCACCACCACCAGCAGCAACAGCAGCAACAACAACAAGACCUCAAGAUGUAUAGAGAGACACACUUGAUUACAAAAGUGUUCAUAGCUUCUAGUGUUAUAAUAAGGAGGAGGAAGAGGAGGAGGAAGAGGAGGGGGAGGAGAAGGUGGUGGUGGUGGUGGAGGAGGAGGAGGAGGAGGAGGAAGAAGAAGAAGCAUUGGCUGUGAUCCUGUUCUAUAUGCUUCUAUGCGGCAUGCAAUAACUGUGGCUCCCCCGAUUGUUUUGUUGUCAUAAGCAAAAUUUCCAGUUAAUUAUGUCAAAUGUUAUAAACACCAGAAAUAACCACGACUCUGUUGAAUACCUAUUUCUUUAUUACCCACAAGGGGCUAAACAUAGAGGGGACAAACAUGGACAGACAUAGGUAUUAAGUCGAUUAUAUCGACCCCAGUGCUUAACUGGUACUUAAUUUAUCGACCCCGAAAGGAUGAAAGGCAAAGUCGACCUCGGCGGAAUUUGAACUCACAACGUAACGCAGACGAAAUACCGCUAAGCAUUUCGCUCGACGUGCUAACGUUUCUGCCAGCUCGCAGCCUUGAGAAAUAUCAAAGGUUAAUGUUCGACCGAUUAAACAAGAUUUAUAAGAUGUCAUCAGUGGAAUUAAAGCGUUUUUCAUUACUAGAGUCAGCGUCAUUUCCGCUCCUUUUCCAAGAAGCAUCGGUGACACGAGACCUCCACCCAGCACAAAACCCCACCGUCAAUAGUCUCUUCCCAGAUGAUACCCAUAAUCUACCUGCCCCCCCCCGCCUACCCAGAGAGGUAAUAUUUAUCCCCACUUAAAUAUGGAUGUUCCGUUAGAACGCGGUUUACUGUAGUAGAGUGGAGGCGCAAUGGCCCAGUGGUUAGGGCAGUGGACUCGCGGUCGUAGGAUCGCGGUUUCGAUUCCCAGACCGGGCGUUGUGAGUGUUUAUUGAGCGAAAACACCUAAAAAAGCUCCACGAGGCUCCGGCAGGGGAUGGUGGUGAUCCCUGCUGUACUCUUUCACCACAACUUUCUCUCACUCUUACUUCCUGUUUCUGUUGUACUUGUAUUUCAAAAGGGCCGGCCUUGUCACUCUCUGUGUCACGCAGAAUAUCCCCGAGAACUACAUUAAGGGUGCACGUGUCUGUGGAGUGCUCAGCCACUUACACGUUAAUUUCACGAGCAGGCUGUUCCGUUGAUUCGGAUCAACCGGAACCCUCGUCGUCGUAACCGACGGAGUGCUUCCCCACGGUAGUAGAUGUCCACGAGAGAAACUCUCAUACAGGCUUUCGAUGCAAAAUUCACGCUUGUUUUGAUAUCGCCAGCAGGGAAAUAAAUCUCCACCGAAUCCAGCGCCGAGACUAUUCGAUCACAUGAACUCGACCUUCCUUGGUCUCAUCGGUGGUGGACGCUCGACUGCUUGAGAUAGCAGCGAUUCGCCUCGUCACUAGCGAUAUACUCUCUUUACUCUUUUACUUGUUUCAGUCAUGUGACUGUGGCCAUGCUGGAGCACCGCCUUUAGUCGAGCAAAUCGCCCCCAGGACUUAUUCUUUGUAAGCCUUGUACUUAUUCUAUCGGGUCUCUUUUGCCGAACCGCUAAGAUACAGAGACGUAAACACACCAGCAUCGGUUGUCAAGCGAUGUUGGUGGGGGGGCAAACACAGACAUACAAACAUAUACACACACACAGACACACAGACACACAGACACACACACACACACACACACACACACACACACACAUAUAUAUAUAUAUAUAUAUAUGUAUUUAUAUAUAUAUACAUACAUAUAUACGACGGAUUUCUUUCAGUUUCCGUCAAUCAAAUCUAUUCACAAGGCUUUGGUCGGUCCGAGGCUAUAGUAGAAGACACUUGCCCAAGGUGCCACGCAGUAGGACUGAACCCGGAACCAUGUGGUUGGUAAGCAAGCUACUUACCACACACACACACACACACACACACACAAGACAGUGCCCGAACAGGCACUAGUGUCACGAUUAACCAGUGAGCUUGUUAAAAUAUAUUUUAGCGACAGAGGCAGUAUUAAUAGCGAGAAACUGGAGUUGGAGGGGACUUAUCUCACCGCUCACGAUAUAAACAAGCGUGCAUUUUGCACCAAAAGCCUAAAUGUGAGUUUCUCUCGUGGUAUCUACCACAGUAUAGUCUGUUCUAACAGAACAACCACGUUUAAGUGGGAAUAAAUAUUACCUCUCGGUAUUACUACAGCUUCUGUCGCUAAUAUAUACUUCCUCCAUAGAUCAUGACAGAUCUGCCCCUCCUCUCUGGUUCUACUGAAGAGUGGCUCUCUCUGCUCUCUGCAUAUGCGUGCGUAGCAUGUGGCUGAAUAUCUUCCACCGUCACGCGGUGAUGAUACCCCAAAAAGGUACUCAUCCCGGUUUUUUUCUGUGACUUCUUCGUACGUGAUGUAAUCACACCAAGAAAUUCUUAAUAUAGCCUUAUGACAACUGAAGUCCAACAAAUUCUUUUGGGGUUUUUAUUUCCCUACGUUUCACAAGAAUCUUUUAUCUGUUAUUAGUUUCAGGCAUUAAACUGCGGCUAUGCUGGAUCACCGCUUCGAAGGGUAUAGUUGAACAAGUCUGCCUAAGGACUUACUUCUAAGUCUGGUGCUUAUUCUUAGUUCUUUAUUGCCCACAAGGGGCUAAACACAGAGGGGACAAACGAGGACAGACAAACGGAUUAAGUCGAUUAUAUCGACCCCAGUGCGUAACUGGUACUUGUUUAAUCGACCCCGAAAGGAUGAAAGGCAAAGUCGACCUCGGCGGAAUUUGAACUUAGAACGUAACGGCAGACGAAAUACGUAUUUCUUUACUGCCCACAAGGGGCUAAACACAGAGAGGACAAACAAGGACAGACAAACGGAUUAAGUCGAUUAUAUCGACCCCAGUGCGUAACUGGUACUUGUUUAAUCGACCCUGAAAGGAUGAAAGGCAAAGUCGACCUCGGCGGAAUUUGAACUCAGAACGUAACGGCAGACGAAAUACAGCUCGUCGGCAAGAGAGCCCUGGUACUUAUUCUGUCGGCUUUUGUCGAACUGCAAAGUUAAGGGGACGCAAAGAAAGUAACAUGAUGUUUUUGCGGCUUUAAUAAUAAUAUGAACCAUAUAUAUAUAUAUAUAUGUGGCUGUGUGGUAAGUAGCUUGCCUACCAACCACAUGGUUCCGGGUUCAGUCCCACUGCGUGGCACCUUGGACAAGUGUCUUCUGCUAUAGCCCCGGGCCGACCAAAGCCUUGUGAGUGGAUUUGGUAGACGGAAACUGAAAGAAGCCCGUCGUAUAUAUGUAUAUAUAUAUAUGUAUGUAUGUAUGUAUGUGUAUGUGUGUGUCUGUGUUUGUCCCCCUAGCAUUGCUUGACAACCGAUGCUGGUGCGUUUAUGUCCCCGUUACUUAGCGGUUCGGCAAAAGAGACCGAUAGAAUAAGUACUGGGCUUACAAAGAAUAAGUCCCGGGGUCGAAUUGCUCGACUAAAUGCGGUGCUCCAGCAUGGCCGCAGUCAACUGUCUGAAACAAGUAAAAGAGUAAAGAGUAAAAGAGUAUAUAUAUAUAUAUAUAUAUAUAUAUAUAUACACACACACACACACACACACACACAUAUAUAUAUACACACACAUGUAAUAAAAUCUCUUGCGGUUUUAUAGCACUUUUAAACGAAAUUCAAUGACAUUACACUUUUAAAGACUUAUUCAGUGAUAGCUCCAUUGCUGUGUUGUAAAGUCUGUAUGAGGUAAACGCUAACGCCAUACCACACUUUUCACGCCUUAUUCAGAGGAAUGUGCGCCAGAAAAGAUAAAUAUCUCUGGUGUGGGUGUUAAAGUUGUUUACUGGUUACAGUUGGCUGGUUAACAUGUAAACAGCUUCGACAACAACUAUAGUCAUAGCAGCUGUGAAAACAAUACAACGAUUUAGAUCAAUAAGCACAACAGCAAUAACAACAUUAAUAAAUUGUGUCACGCAGAUCUGUUUGCUCCCACAUACAAUAACUUACUGCUUAUAUAUAUAUAUAUGUGUUGGGGUGUCCGGAAAGUUCGUGCCGAUUUUUAAAGAAAAAGGUCAAUAGGCGCAGGAGUGGCUGUGUGGUAAGUAGCUUGCUAACCAACCACAUGGUUCCGGGUUCAGUCCCACUGCGUGGCAUCUUGGGCAAGUGUCUUCUGCUAUAGCCCCGGGCCGACCAAUGCCUUGUGAGUGGAUUUGGUAGACGGAAACUGAAAGAAGCCUGUCGUAUAUAUGUAUAUAUAUAUAUAAGUGUGUGUGUGUAUGUUUGUGUGUCUGUGUAUGUUUGUGUGUCUGUGUUUGUCCCCCUAGCAUUGCUUGACAACCGAUGCUGGUGUGUUUACGUCCCCGUGACUUAGUGGUUCGGCAAAAGAGACCGAUAGAAUAAGUACUGGGCUUACAAACAAUAAGUCGCGGGGUCGAUUUGCUCGACUAAAGGCGGUGCUCCAGUAUGGUCGCAGUCAAAUGACUGAAACAAGUAAAAGAGUAAAAGAGAGUAAAGUGUAAAUACUUGCCAUUACAUUUUUAAUCAACCAAAUAUGAACCAUUUUGUUGCAAAAUGCGUCUCCAUCUUUCCUUUAACUUGAAAAUACCCUCUUCCCAGAAUUGAGGUGGUUUCAUGGCAAAGACUUCAUCAAGGUAUAUUUUUACGUCAUCCAAGGAAUUGAAAUUUUUACCAUUAAGACUAUUAUGCAGAGACCUGAAUAAGUGGAAAUCCGAAGGAGCAAAAUCUGGUGAAUAUGGAGGGUGGGGUAACACAUCCCAGCCGAGCUGCAGCAAUUUUUGUCUGGUUCCCAAAGCAUCAAGUGCCGAAAAUGAACUUUCUUAUCUUACAUUUUAAAGGGUUACAAAAUUAACACAGGUUAUAGGAACAUAAAGCUUCUUCCACGAAAAGAUAGCUUAAACUGUGAUUUAAAUGGAGGUGUAGUCAAAUCCUAUUUUAUGGACUCAACCAUGUUCUAAAAUAAGUUGAAAGGUAAGCUACUAUAAAUCAGCACGAACUUUCCGGACAACCCAAUAUAUAUGUGAUGUUGUUGUUUGUUCUUUCGUGCCAUGCCUGGCUCAUAAGACCCAGAUUCCCGUUUUCAUUGGCGUAUAGGUUCCCCACCUGGACGGGACGCCGGUCCGUCGCAGGUGAGCUGUAAGAUGCAGGAGGAAAGAGUGAGAGAAAGUUGUGGCGAAAGAGUCAGCAGAAGUUCGCCAUUACCUUCUGCCGGAGCCGUGUGUGGCUUAGGUGUUUCGCUCAUAAACACAGGCAUCGCCCGGUCUGAGAUUCGAACCGACCACGCAUUAACAUUGCCAGAACCUCGGACCCUACACUGCGAAAAUGUUUUGCUGUUUCUAUCAAAGUUGCCCUCAGUAGCUGCCCAUCCUCUUCUACUGAAAGUAGGUGGAAUUAUAUCAGGGAAGCUUUGUAUACAAACAUCAAUAGGUACUUUCAGCUUGAGUGAAAAGCAAAACCCAGAUUGGUUCAGUGCUGGACUCUCAGAGCUGGAACCAGUUAUCGAAGCAAAGCGCGCAGCUCUGAUGCAAUACAAGAGUGAUUCUUCUACAAAGUCACUCGAAGAACUCAGAAAUGCAAGAAAUAAAACCCAACUGACUGCCAGACGCUGUGCAAAUAGGUAUUGGCAGAAAAUCUGUCAGACUAUCCAGUCAGCUGCUGAAAGUGGCGACACCUGUGGGAUGUAUGCCGGUUUGAAGAGGGCCUCGGUUCAUCCGCAACCAAGUCAGCCACUCUGAAAUCAAUUACUGGAGAUCUCAUCAAGGACCAAAGUAGGCAAAUGGAUAGAUGGGUGGAGUACUACUAGGAUCUCUACUCACGAGAGACCACGGUAGCUGAGGCUGCAAUCGAGGGUGUCAAGAUCUUGCAGCCAUGUGCGAACUUGACAGUCUGCCGUCUAUAGCAGAGCUCACCAAGACUAAUCUCUCCCUAGCCAGUGGCAAAUCCCUAUAAAUGUUUCAAAGGUGGGUGGUGUGACACGCUGGAUAAGCUAGUCCCAGAAAUUUUGUUUAAUAACAAAAUGACAAGAUGUCACAGUUUAAACAUCCUUGACUUCAUAAGUCUUCCUGAUCUAGAUUUAUAAAACAACAACCGUAGUUGUUAUCAGGACAUAUUGCUGAUGUUUGUUAUUCAACCAUGACCAAGUGACCAAGUAAAAUUAUUGUCAAAAAUUCUUCUCGUCACACACAACCACACAUGCGUGUCUGUGUGUGUGUGUGUAUGCUUGCAUGUAUGUAUGUGCACACACACACAAACACACACACACACACACACACACACACACACACACACACACACACACACACACACACACACACACACUUUAAUAUUUUUAUCCACAUACGCGCUGGCAUUGCUAUCUGUUAAGAGGUUUGCUUCCCAACCACAUGGUUCCGGGUUCAGUCCCACUGCAUGGCACCUUGAGCACGUGUCUCCUACUAUAGCCUUGGGCCAACCGAAGUCUUGUGAGUGAAUUUGGUAGACGGAAACUGAAAGAAGCCUGUCGUAUGUAUUGUGUUUGUCCCCCACCACCGCUUGUCAACAUGGCUUAAAAAAGAAAGUCCUGGGUCAAUUCGUUCGAUUAAAAACACUCUCCAAAGUGGUGCUCCAGCAUGGGGCUGUCGACUGAUUUGGAGUACCUGAUUCAUGGUUUUCUUACUCUAUCUUUGGAUUAUGUCACCAUUAAAUACCUACGGAGUACGUCGUUUCUGCACCUUUGAUUGUGUGUAUGUGUGUAUGUGUGUCUGUGUGUCUAUAUAUAAGAAUGCCAUAUUAGUAUGGCGAUAACUAUUAUUUUAUAUAUAUAUAUAUAUAUAUAUAUAUAUAUAUAUAUAUAAUAACAAUUUAAUAAAUAAAACAUAUGCAUACAUACAUACAUACAUAUAUGUACAUGCCUAUAUCUAUGUGUAUAUAUACAUGCAUAUAUGAGUACAGGACACCACAGAUAAACGUAGAACUCAACGAGAAACGAAAACAUAAAAUCAAACAAGGAAACGGACUUUUUUAACAACGAAAAAACAGAGUACAAGACAAACAAUACAAGGAACAUUCCCCUUCUUCAGCUGCCCCUGUUUCGACUCAAUGCGUGAUACAUACAUAUGUAUGUAUGUAUGUAUGUAUGUAUGUAUGUAUGUAUGUAUGUAUGUAUGUAUGUAUGUAUGUAUGUAUGUAUAUUGGCAUCCUUUUUGUCCCGGGAGACAAUGGAGUUGCGCAUAAAAUAAUCUAGUCCGGUUUUUACAUUUCAUGUCCUAAUACAUUUCCUGCUGUGGCUGUGUAGUCCUAUCCUGGACAAACGCUCACUCUGGCAGGUGCCGCAAAUAUAGCGAAGACUGUUCCUGGCUGGUUGUAAUAUCAUAGUUUCUUGUUGAUGUCUUUUCUUGUCUUUCCAUUUCUCCUCUCUUUCUCUGUCACUCCUUUGUGUUCCCUCUUCUAUUGUACGUCGCCAAUCUCCACGGUUGCUGGCAACUGCUUCCAAGUUGCUAAUAUUGAUGUCACAGGCCUUCAUGUCCCUUUUGCAAACAUCCUUGUAUCGUAAGAACUGCCUUCCCACAGACCUAGUGCCCCUAGCAAGCUCGCCGUAGAGCAUGUCCUUGGGGAUUCUGCCAUCCUCCAUACGACUAACAUAUCCAAGCCAUCUCAUACGUCUUUGUGUGAGGAGUGCAAACAUGCUUGGUAUUCCCGCUUGCUUGAGGACAUCUUUGUCGGGGGCAUGAUUCUGCAAUUUGAUGCCAAAGAUUUUCCAGAGGCAGCGCAGGUGAAAGAUAUUUAGGCGACGCUCUUGGCGUGGGUAUGGCGUCCAUGUCUCAAUGCCAUAUAUCUUGUUCUUGGACACUCGCAAAGCUUGAAGAAAGUAUCAAAAAUACUUGUUCGAACGACAAGAAAUAUAGAUUUCUAACAUCGACGAGUGACUAUACAUAGUUUCUUGUUAUAGGGAAAGGGAUCAAGAUUAUUAUAAUAAUCUUCACUGACUUCCAAUCUCUCUGUGUUGACUGAUGUUAUUUCAUCGACAUCUGGGAAGAUGGAUUGCAAUAUUGAUCUUGAUGGAAUUAGAAAUGAGAACUAUUUAGAGAAGUAUUUAUAAUUGAGAAGCAUUUCUUUUUUGUGAUAUUUUAUCGAAUCAGUCAUUUUGGUACCUGAGAAUUCUCUAAAAAUAAAUGUUUGGUUUUUAAAGAAAUAAAAAGAAAAAUUAGAGAAAGACAUUGGCAAUCAUAAUAAAUCAUUUUAUUUCAAUAUUAACAUAGGGACCAGGCCACAUUUUUGUUGAUGUGUGUAUGUAGGAAUAUACUCCAUUAUAUAGGCCCCAGAACACGCCUGGAAUUCUAAUUUUAUCGACACCAGAAAAAUGAAAGGCGACAUUAUUUUCGCGGGAUUUGAGUGUAGCAUGUAAAAUGUCAAACCUAAAUACUGCAUGGUACUCUGUCCGACGCAGUACGAAUUUUACCCGGUCACCCUUGUUAUUGUAAGAAGAAAGCUACAUAUAAUGUGGAAGAAUAUAUGUUAGCUUUAUAAAACUCAUCGAUAGAUCGAUCCAUUCAUCGAUAUUUUCCCCAGUUAAGUUCAAAAGCCAAUACUACCCCCUCAUUCUGCAUCGUUUACAUCGCCCUAAACUGACCCCCUUGGUGUUUUUAGCUUUUAAACAUCUCUAGAGGGAGACUUUAGAGAUGUAUUUGUUUCAGUCGUUUGACCCCAGGAUUCUUUGUAAGCCUAGGACUUAUUCUUUGUAAGCUCCCGAGUUCUGUAUUUGUUGACAAGGUUUGGUCUCAAGAGAGGUCGAAUCCACCUGAAGGCAGUUGUAGCUUUCCCAAUCCUUCACUUUAUGUCCUGAUCUGUUCCGUUCUCCUUAUUUACAACGCUUUCUUAAGUGUGUGAAAUGAGUGACAUCCUUCAAUUUUCUUACCUGUGACUGUGAAGUUCACAUCGGGUGAGAUGGCCCGACAGGCCCAGGCAAGCUGGCAGCCAGCCUAUCGAAACUUAGAUCAAGAAGAGGAAUUAGGGUAGGUUGGUUGACACACUUUGGAAACCCGUUUCCAACAUUACAAGGUGAGCACUCCGAUGGAAGUGAGGCAGACCGAAAGCAAUAUGGAGAAGAUCUAGAGAAGCUGAAGCAUUUUGGACAAAGCAAUCCUUUGCCGAAGAUCAUCGAGAUAAAUCAAUGAAUUGCGAACGAGAAGGAGUUUUUGUAUGCCAAUUGCACAGAUAAUCUCAGAUGAAUGAAAUUUUUCAACUUAAAAGAUUAUAUAUAAAUUUCGAACAUAGGUCACAUUUUUGUCGUGUACGUGUAUUUGCGUACGCGCGCAUGAGUGUGCGUGCGUGUAUAUGUGCGGCGAGCUGGCAGACACGUUAGCGCGCCGGGCGAAAUGCUUAGCGGUAUUUCGUCUGUCGUUACGUUCUGAGUUCAAAUUCCGCCGAGGUCAACUUUGCCUUUCAUCCCUUCGGGGUCGAUAAAUAAAGUACCAGUUUCGCACUGGGGGGCGAUAUAAUCGACUCAAUCCCUUCGUCAGUCCUUGUCUGUCCCGUCUAUGUUUAGCCCCUUGUGGGCAGUAAAGAAAUAUAUAUGUGUGUGUGUGUGUGUGUAUGUGAUUGCGUGUGUGUGUGUGUGUGUGUGUGUAUGUGAUUGCGCGCGUGUGUGUGUAUGUGAUUGCGUGUGUGUGUGUGUGUGUGUGUCUGUGUGUGUGUGUAUGUGAUUGCGUGUGUGUGUGUGUAUGUGAUUGCGUGUGUGUGUGUGUGUGUGUGUCUGUGUGUGUGUAUGUGAUUGCGUGUGUGUGUGUGUGUAUGUGAUUGCGUGUGGGGGCGAGGAGUAUAUUCGUGUAUGUCGAAACCGGUAGACGCCUGGUAUUUAACUGUACCGAUUCCGUAGAUAUAUCACAUGCAUCUCCCCUAUAUACCAAGGCUGUAUACUAGAGGUGGACGGGGGUGGUGGUGGUGGUGGUGGUGUGUGGUGUUAUUAAAUGUGCGUGGGUGUCGGCGAAUGUACAGAAGGAAAAUGGGAAAUUCCAAUUCUUUCAAGUCUGUGCGAAAAAUAACAAGAAGAAACAAGAAUUUCUAAAAAUACGAAUUCCUUCGUAAAACACCAAAAUUCGGUCACACGGGUAGGUAGGUAGGUAGGUAGGUAGGUAGGUGGGUGGGUGGUUGUUUGGGUAGGUAGGAAGGAAAAGGUUCCUGUCUUCGGGUAAAAAGGCAAUACGGGAGGAUCAGUUAAUUAUGAUUUUAUUGAACACUAGCAGUAUCGCCCGGCGUUGCUCAGGUUUGUAAGGGAAAUAACUACAAAGCAUUUUUAUAGAGUUAUAGCCAAAAAAUAGCCAAAAAAUGGAAAAAAAUGAUGGUAAAUUUUUUUUUGAGAGUUAAAAAAGGAUGGAGUUGCGUCCCCUAGACAGUUUGUGGUUCGUAUUCCUGAUUCUCGACCCCAUGUCGAAUUUAUCGAUUUUCUUCAGAACUGGGGGAACUUUUCAAAAUUUUCGCUGCGUUAGUUUUGAAUUAUGACAUUGGGCUAUGUGUGUGUCAAGUUUCAUCAAAAUCGGUUGAAAGCCGUGGUCAGGGUGAGGGUACAAGCAAACAGACACACAGAAACACGCACAGACAAACUGCCGUUUAUAUAUAGAGAGAUAUUCCCCUUUCAGAUCCUCACACUUAUUGCAGCGGUCCUUCAGUUUCUGUCAGCCCUGUAAAAGAAAUCGGAAGGUUGGGCCUCCAAUCAGGUCUUUCGCGACACCCUUAAAACCAGGAACUUUUGAGCAUCCCUCGUGUACAUAUAUAUAUAUCACCGUGACCGACCAGGCUAUCAGAUGUUGCUACGUAUCGCUGGUCACAAUGCGCUUCACAUUGUUUUAGCCUUCAAAUGACGCCACUCCGCUGGCUAAGCGAGCAGGCCAACAGAAGAAAGAGUGAGAGAAAGUUGUGGCGAAAGAGUACAGCAGGGAUCACCACCACCACCCUGCCGGAGCCUCGUGGAGCUUUAGGUGUUUUCGCUCAGUAAACAUUCACAACGCCCGGUCUGGGAAUCGAAACCGCGAUCCUACGUCCGCGAGUCCGCUGCCUUAACCACUGGGCCAUUGCGCCUCCACACACACACACACACACACACACACACACACACACACACAUAUGACGAGCUUCUUUCAGUUUCCAUCGACCAAAUCCGCUCACAAGGCUUUGGUCGGCCCGAGGCUUUAGUAGAAGAUACUUGCCCAAGGUGCUAUACAGAAGGACCGAACCUGGAACCAUGUGGUUGCAAUGCCAGCUUCUUACCCCACAACCAUAUAUAUAAACACACACACACAAACGCACACAUACGUAUAUAUGUGUGUGUGUGUGUGUGUGUAUGUGUGUGUGUGUAAGCACACACACAUGAGUACUUAAGCGCACGCGUGUGUGUGUUGCUUCAUCGAUGUUAUUCUCUUUCUUUCAGAUUACCUUUGUGCCGUUAUUCCCAGAGAAUGAAAUGCUUCUGUAAUAUGAGGAAGAAUGGUCAAGCAACAAAUUCCUUUAACCUGUUGAUUCCAAGAACCAAUAAUUCCCAGGUGUAUGACACGACAUUAGCGGCCUAUCAAGAAGAUUCUAUAAUUCUCCGUGUCGCAAAUUUUCUUUUGUAUUCUAGGCACAAGGCCCGAAAUUUCGUUGGGGGCUAGUCGAUUAGAUCGAUUCCAGUACGAAACUGGUAC